GAUUUGUCUUUUUUUUUUUUUGGUGAUUUUGUGAUAUGGGUAUCUGGACUUUCUCGUGUUUUCAUUGAUUUGAUGGAGCGAAUACUUUAAAUUUAUGUAUUUUUAACUUUUGAACGACAUGGGUAAGUGGUAUAUAUCGUGAUUUGAGUUUUUGCGAGGUGGGCUGUGGUAUUAAGAUUAGGUAAUUGGUUAACUUCUUGAUUCUGAAGUCUAUAGUAGCUUGUUGCUAAUGUUUCAUAUGAUAGUAUCAUUUAUCUGCUUUGCUUUGACGUUGAUCUACUUUUUUAGGUCUUUGUUAUGUUAGCUUAUAAUGUUCAAUUCUCUUAUUCUCAACAGGUUCUGCACUUUGUGCACAGUACACUGCUUUGGUUCUGUAUUUACUUUGUCAUGGACAUAUUAUUUUUUCUAAGUAUUGGUGCUAUUGCUUUGCUUUAUUUGGUUUCUACCCAUUUAAGAUCUUCUUUGUGUGUGGUACUAGGGUUGAUUUUAUUGCCGUUCUUUUCUGGGAUACAGAUGAUGCAUUUGUUUUCAUAUGGGUCGAAAUAGAAAAAAAUUUUAUUUUUAUAUAUCUUUGCCAGUUUGAACAGAUCCAAUGGCUGAUGAACAAAUAGAUUAUGAGGACGAGGAGUAUGGGGGAGCUCAGAAAGUUCAAUAUCAGGGAAGUGGUGCCAUACCUGCACUUGCAGAGGAAGAGAUGGGGGAAGAUGAUGAAUAUGAUGAUCUCUACAAUGAUGUAAAUGUUGGAGAGAAUUUCCUACAGAUGCACCGAUCUGAGGUUCCACCACCACCUGCUAGUAUGGGCAAUGGAGGAUUCCAAUCUCGGAAUGUUGAUGAAUCAAGAGUUGAAAGUAGUGGUUCACAGGGACUGAACAAACCUGGGGUGGCAAUUGAAGAGAAGUAUUCUAAUGCCACAACACAUUUUCAUGAGCAGAGAGAAGUUCCCAUGGGUGUUAAGGGGCCAGAAAUGGGAUCUGUUGGCUACCCAGAUGGGUCUACUGUUGCACAAAAAGGGAGGGUUAUGGAGAUGACUCAUGAUUCUCAAGCACGAAAUAUGGGGUUUCAAGGAACAACAUCUGUGCCCUCCAACAUUGGGGUUGAUCCUUCUUCUGAUAUGAGUAGAAAAAUUGCCAAUGAGUCUUCACCUUUGCCAAAUACUGGCACCAGUGGUCCUCGAGGCAUUCAACAGUUGUCAACUAAUCAAAUUAGUGUGAAUAUGGAUGCCAAUCGUCCUGCAAUGAAUGAAAAUCAAAUCCGGCCACCAAUAGAGAAUGGUUCAACCAUGCUGUUUGUGGGAGAAUUACAUUGGUGGACAACUGAUGCAGAGCUUGAGAGUGUUUUAUCUCAAUAUGGAAGGGUCAAGGAGAUAAAGUUCUUUGAUGAAAGAGCUAGUGGCAAAUCUAAAGGCUACUGCCAAGUUGAAUUUUAUGAUGCAGCAGCUGCUGCUGCAUGCAAAGAGGGAAUGGAUGGGCAUGUUUUCAAUGGUCGUGCUUGUGUUGUGGCCUUUGCUUCUCCACAAACAUUAAAGCAGAUGGGGGCUUCUUACAUGAACAAAACUCAGAGUCAGCCUCAGUCGCAGAAUCAAGGAAGGAGGCCUAUGAAUGAUGGUGUGGGAAGAGGUGGUAAUAUGAAUUAUCAAGGUGGAGAUGCGGGGAGGAACUAUGGAAGGGGUGGGUGGGGACGAGGUGGGCAGGGAAUUCUCAAUAGAGGUCCUGGAGGUGGAGGCCCAAUGAGGGGCAGAGGAGGAGCCAUGGGUGCCAAGAACAUGGUUGGAGGUGCUGGUGGAUUAGGAAGUGGUGCCAAUGGUGGAGGCUAUGGACAAGGCCUUGCAGGUCCUGCUUUUGGUGGACCUGCUGGUGGUAUGAUGCCUCCACAGGGUAUGAUGGGAGCUGGAUUUGAUCCAACAUAUAUGGGUCGUGGGGCUGGAUAUGGAGGAUUUGCAGGUCCUGGUUUUCCUGGCAUGCUUCCUUCGUUUCCAGCUGUUAAUACAAUGGGACUUGCUGGGGUGGCUCCUCAUGUCAACCCAGCCUUCUUUGGCCGGGGAAUGACACCUAAUGGUAUGGGAAUGAUGGGUCCCACUGGAAUGGAUGGGCCUAAUGCUGGAAUGUGGUCUGACACAAGCAUGGGUGGAUGGGGAGAAGAGCCUGGCAGAAGAACAAGGGAGUCAAGUUAUGGUGGUGAUGAUGGGGCUUCUGAAUAUGGCUAUGGAGAGGUCAAUCAUGAAAAGGGAGCACGGUCAAGCGCUGUCUCUCGGGAAAAGGAGCGGGUUUCUGAGCGUGACUGGUCAGGGACCUCUGAUAGGAGGCAUCGUGAUGAGAGGGAACAUGAUUGGGACAGGUCUGAAAGAGAGCACAGGGAGCACAGGUACCGGGAAGAGAAAGAAAGUUACCGAGAACAUCGACAAAGAGAGCGUGACUCUGGUUAUGAGGAUGACUGGGAUAGAGGGCAAUCUUCUUCAAGAUCUAGAAGCAGGUCCCGUGCAGUGCCUGAAGAAGAUUACAGGUCUCGAUCAAGGGAUGCAGAUUAUGGCAAGAGGAGGCGCCUACCAUCAGAGUGAUACAACCAUUCUGUUCAUCUUUCUUGGAUAGGUUUACAAGGCCUCAACAUUUUAUAUCUGCACUUUUGGUCUGUCUCCCUUGGGCUGUUUGCGCUGGCUGCAUUAACCUGAAAUGCAGAUGGUGACUUCUUGAGGGAAGAAGUAAGUUCUACUCGUAUGGAUAAAAGAGAAGAAUAGAUACUGUGUUGUUUUCCUACUGCAUUCUAAGGAACAUCAUUAGAUGAAACUCAAUGUUUGUGUGCUUGAAAACUUCAGUAACUCUUAGUCGUAUACCAAUGUGGAUAUUCUUUGUGGGGUUUGACUUGCAUAUCCUGCAUUUGAGCAUCCCAUUGGAUAUAUAGUUACUCUGAAUGCUAAGUGCUUGUGACCUUGAAAUACUUGAGACCGUCUUUUAUAUAAUUGUCCUAGAUGAUGGCUAGUAUACUAUUACAUUUUUCCUUUAAUUUUUCCAUUGCGUAUGUGAAAGCUUCAAUCUUUGAUAGAUGCUAUAGUAGUUAUAGAGCUAAUUUAUGUGCUGUAUUUGACUUCAUAAUAUUUAACUUUAUAUGGUAGAAUAAUGUUCAACUGGGUCUUUUUUUUCACAUCUGGUUUCUCUGAACUCAUAUGGUUUGCAGGGCAUCUUUUGUUCUCUCCUACUGUUAUUCAUGUGAAUUGAGGAUGGAAUGCACAUUAAUCUAAGAAGCUUUACCCAGUUGGCUUUGUUUCCAUGUGAUUCAUUCUGUUAAUUAUUCUUUCCCUUAAUUUGUUUUUAUGGUUUUUCUUUGAAUAGUUAAAGUAUGGUUUUUUCGAGACAUUUGUUAUGAGAAAAUUUCUUGGCAUGUUUGGUGGCUAUGUUUAGCUGAUGUUUUAAAAUGACUGCUUUAUUAAAUUUAGAAAUUAGAACCUUUGGUGGUUCUAACCUUUUUGUGUUGGGAAUCAUUCAGGUAAUAGGUUAUUGUAUAGUUAUGAUUAAUGUAAAAUGAAAACCUCUGGUGUUGUUUGUGGUGGUGGAGUCACUAUUGGUGGUUAUGAUGUUGACCUUUGGAAUAGUAAAAAAUGUGGGAUGUAUUGUUUUUUGGGGAGAAGCAUGGGCAUUUCUGUCGCCUUAGGUGAUGCUUUGAUGGAAUUUUUUGGUCUGGUUAUGCACUUAUGCUGAAGGUAAAUAUGAAAAACUCUAGUUUUGUUCAGGUAGUGGAAUCAUCAUGGUGGUUGUGACUGGUUGUUGGAAUAGUCAAAUGGAGGUUUUGUUUGUUUAAUUUGAAUUUACAAGGUGUACUGAUCUACUAGGUCAUUUGUUACUAAUUAAAAGUUACAUAGCUUAUAUUUAUACUUUCCUAUUAGGUUCAAUUUAGUGGUAGUCAUACUUGCCACUCCCUGCACAUACUCAUGCUUCUAUGGAAGUAAAUUAUUUAUUUAUAUUUUUAGAGGAAGGAGUGGGGGUCUUUCUUUUAGGGUUCUUUCUCUUAGGAUGUUAUGGACUAAUAAUUGCUUAAUUCAAAGGUGACUAAUAACUUUUCCCUUUUCUGGUCGAUAAUUGUUUGUCUCUUUUGGUUAUUUGUGGGCUAUCAAUUGAGGUCAUGUGUUUGAAAUCCUUUUUUUGAAGGGACAGGUGCAAACAUUCUGUCCCACUUUUUUUCCUUACCUCCAUUGUAAUCUCUGUCUUUCUCUUACUUUUAUACAUGGUUUUUCCAGUUUCCUUAUGCUCAUGCAUUGCUUGCAGUUUUGAAAUAUAACACAGGUUGAAUCAUAAAAGAGGGUCUACAUAUAAAACUCUUAACCUAAUCUCCAAGUGUAUUACUUAACAUUUUUCCAGUGGUUCUGCUACACUGAUAUUCCAGCGGCUUCUUAGAGGAUCUGCACCUAUUCUCAUUUAAUCUACUUUCAGAUUUUAGAAAAUAUUGUAGUUUUGAACUACUUGAUCUACAACUAUGAGAAUUAUGUAGGUCUGAAUGAAUUAUUACAUGUGAGUCUUGUAGAAGUCUAAUGCCCGUGGGAUUGUAAGAUUAAAAAUAAUGGACUAGGGAGUUUUAUUGGCCAUCAGAGUAUGUUUUAAUGCAUGCUCAUUCUAAUGCAUUGAGUGAUUUAGAUAGCUUGUGGGGGUGGUGUGUUUGACAAAUCUAUUUUUUGAAUGUCUAUUGACAUGGGGGUUUUCUUUUAUAUCAAUCCAGGGGGUGGAGUGGUCAACUCUUUGUUUUCAUGAUUGAAUCAUAUCUGUGUUAGUUGCCUGGAGGAAGAUGUGUUAGAUGAGCUGCCUUCACUGGAUUUCUUCCAUAAUGGUUUUGAUCUGCCAAGUUUGCAAAAGAAGCCUUGAUUAUUUUGGCUUUCACCCUUUUUUCCACAAGUACCACUUAAGAAUCUGUAAAUAACAUUCCUGCAAGAAUAUGUCUUGAAAGACUUGUAUUCAUGGAGCUGUAAAAUAAUGAAGAGAUGUAUUAGGUCCUUCAGUUUUUUUAUUUCAUGUAAAUGGAUACAUGUAUUAGGUCCUUUAGUUUCUUCUUGUUCUACAUCAGGUCAACAUCAUGUAAUGGUCUCCUUCAUUAUUUAUUUUGAUCAUUGAUCUUUUUUCUGUUUCAUCACUGAGCUUGUAAAAGUCUUGUACCAAUUGUGGGGACCAUAUUUGUACAUAUUUGAUGUUUUGUAAUUCCUCUUGUUAUGUCUCUGUGUUAGUUAGAAGGGUCAGAGAUGGGUUAAUAAUGCUUUGUAAUGAUGGGUGGAUAUCCCUACUCUAUUUUGGUCACUGUAAUACAUAUAAAACCCAAGUUUUAAGGACAUUCUUCCUGAAAAGUUGAAGGAUUUGAGAAGUUUCAUCAUUACAAUGUAAAUUUGGGGUCUACCUCACUAUUAGGAGCUAUGAGUAAAUGCUACAAUGUUGCAGAUGCGCGGGAACCAAAAAGAGUGUUGACUGUUUUGGGCUUGUUUAUCCCUCUCUGGAGGCCUGAUGCAAUGCUUUUUAUGUAUUCUUUUUUUUUCCCCCCUUUUGGGGGUCUAGUUUAGGGUUCCUCAUUUACUGUUGUUCUUGGUGAGAUUUUGUUGUAUAAAUCAUGUUUUCUGGUUUGUACAGUAGGAUGUAGAUUUUAUUUUACACUGUACUUUAGAUUUUAGUCUUCAGCCUUCUUGUAUUUAUGUACGAGGAGCGGCAACAUCCUUCUUAAAGGUGCAUUCCAGUGUUCUGAUAGGUGCUACUUGAUGACAAAAACUGACACUUGUAUUUACUUUUUUAUUUAGAUUCAGUAUGUACUCAUGCUAUCUUUUCAUUAUUUUUCUGGAAUAGCUCAUAGUUUUGCUUUGAAGUUUACAUGUUGUUGAUAUAGAAACCUCCAAGUGAAAUCAUUUGAUAUUGAAUCCCUUGACUUUUUUUUGCUUGCUGUUGUUUACAUCAAUUUUACUGACUGGCAAAAUUCAUCAAAAACUGGCAUCAUUGACCACAUUAUUUGAGGGAUGACAUGGUAGAUGGAUUUUUUUUU
rnacentral:misc_RNA from 1 species